AACUUAACCCUGAAUAGUACCCCUAUCAGGAUCCUAGACCGGAAAGAGUUAGAUGUCCGUGGAAAGAAGGUAGGGAUGGUACUAGUUCGAUGGGAAAGAGAUGGGAUACCUGACGAGGUAUGGGAGCGUGAGUCCCAAUUUUUGGACGCCUAUCCGGGGAUGUUCCAGACAGAGACACAGCAGAAUUCGGGGACGAAUUCAGUUCUAGUGGGGGAGAAUUGUAACACCCCGGCCCAGGCCCAAGUGGAAAAGGCCCAACAGAGAGAAACCCUAAGUAACCCUAAUCCUAACAACUAUAAAAGGAGGUGCCUCUCUACAGCUGAGACAUCACAAACCCACCAAGCGAAGCCCUGCGAGACACGAGAGCUGCCGCCGCCACCAGCACGCCGAGGAAGCGCCGCCGUCGACCACCGUCCGCGCAGCCCAAGUCGCCGAUCGCGGGUGCCAAGCCGUCGGCUUCUCGAUUCUGUGGAGUGUAACCGCCUGCGUUUAGAGCAUUAAGACUUCCGAGAGCCAGAUCCGGAACAGAAACUGCUACCUUGCUGUCUUAGAUCCAGACCGACAACCAAUUAAGGUGAGGACUUGUCUGUGAACUCCUCUCAAGAUCCCUAACCCUGUAUAGUAUUAGGGAGUAUCUAGUAUGAGCUAGGUUGAUUGUUAUGAUGAAUGAAUGAAAUCAAUGAUGAGAUUGAUGAAAUGUUGAUGAUGAUUGAGAACCUAGUGGAUCUAGGGAAAGAAAGUAAAUAAAGUAAGAGUCUAGAAUGACUAAAGAAAGAAAGAGUCUAGUAAGACUAAGAGAAACUAAGAAAGUUGAAUGAAAUACAAACCACCGAGGGACUGGUGGGGAGUAUGGGAAACGCGGCGGCCGUAGCGUUCAAAAACGGCAAGUAAGAAUAGAGGCGCCGGUAAGAUUGAGUCACGCCGAGUCUUGGCGGGAAGGGGUCGUAAUACACUGCAAGGGGUAUGGACUACAUCCAAGGGAACCGGAUGCCGGGUGUACCAGGGCAGGCGACUUCAUAGGGAUGCAGCAAGAAAGGGGAGGGUUGGUCCGCUUGAGCUGUGUAGGUCCUAGGCGUCUAGGGUGUUUGAUUGUUAACUGCUAGCCCUGCUAGAUUACGUUCUAAUACUUGCUGUGUUAUGUGUUUUGAUAAGAGUUAGCGGGUUCCUAGAACCCGUCCUCACUGAGUAUUUUCCCCAAAAUGCUCACCCCUCUCUUCCGCAGGUACGGACGAGGAAACGCAGGAGUAAGGUUGGAGUGGUGAUGGUUCCUGGGCCGGGAAUGUUGUUAUUUUUCAUGUUCUUAUUUUUAAAUCGUUUGCUUUUCAAGACCGGUGUUUAAACUUGUUACUUAUGAUUUCCGUUAAGAUUUCUAAGCAAUAAAAAGGAUUUGGAGUUUCUUUUAUCGUUAAGUUGUGAAUUUAAU